AUAUAAAAUAUAAAUUAAUAAUUCCUUAUAUAUAGCAUAUUACAUGAAUGAUUUAUGAAGGUUUCUUGAAAAAUGACUCAAUUGUCUUUUGUUUUUUGUUGAAAUCAAUUUCCCCUUGAAUCUCGUCUCUAAUUUUUCUUAGCAUGGUAAGAACUUCUGGUGUUUUACUAUGAACCCAUUCUUGCAAUUGCUUUUGAGUGAGACUUGGAUUAUCCUUGUUGUGCUUGCAUAAUGCUCUUCGAAUCUCGUCUGUCAUUGUUGUUUUUUUUCACACCUUUAAGAUGGGAAGCCAUGUUGUGUGUAUGAUUUGUUUGUGUUAACCUAUUUUGAUCUUGUAUUUAUAUAGAAAAUAUUUUUAAUGUCCAUAAAGUGAUACAUUGAACACAAGAAGCAUAAUAAGGUGG
rnacentral:lncRNA from 1 species